GUAAAGGCAGGAGGCAGGUCCUGGCCCCAGUCUCCUCCCAGAAGAGCAACUCCUCCUCCUACCCCUACCCCCAGGGAUGAAAAAACGAAUUCCAGAACUUCCCCUCAGGACACAGAUUAACACCUGGCCAAACAUUAUUCUGACAAGAGCCACAGUUUAGAGAAAGGACCCUGCCACAGCUUUAACCUCAAGAUCUCCUUAACAAGAUCAAGUGGUGACCCUUCUCCAUGCCUACAGAAGAUUACAACACUAAAAACAGCCCAGUCUCUUUUAGCAAAAAAAACACCAAAAAAUCAUGUGCACGCAGGAGUACGGCGCCUGUAUCCUGAUAGACACUGCGUCUCCCAAGCUGAGAAACUACCUGAAGUAAACAGUGCAAGGAUGAAAUAAACGAAACUGAGAAAGGUAGAUUCUUACCGCGGGGCCACCAGGGAAGCCCGAGGAAGGAGCUGAUGCUCACUUCAAGCGGCAGACUUCUGACUGGUGUUUUAAGUCUCCUGAAAGAGCAGAAGACCUAAGGCCGAUGGAGGGAGGGAGCAAAACCUACUUUACGGCAGAAAGUACAAUGUGGAAGGCAGCGGAUACAGGCAAGAGCUUUGGAGACAACAGGAUUUCAGUUCCAGCCCGGGUCAUGCUAAGUGCUGGGUAUAACUGCGAACUAGUCACUUAUCUCUCUCAACCUCAAGUGCUUCAUCUGUUAACUGAAGACAGUGUACUGUUAAAAUCGGACGAUCUUUGUGGAGGAACUGCUUCAGCUGCACUGAAAGAACCCUUUUCCACCGCAGCUGCACUUGGAACACACCAUUUCCUCUGGCAGAGCAUCUGAAUGCUUGUUCAGAGAGGCUGAAGAGGUUCGAUGGGCGCUCAAGGACUUUCUCUUUUCUCAGUGAACAGGGCUGGUCACAGCUCUUAUAAAGCCUUCAGAACGAUUCA